CUCCGUCAUGAACCAGGCAGCUGUGACUCUAAGACCUCUAGACUACAUGGGUCCAGUAACCCUGGAACACAGCACGAGAGAAGCCAGCAUCCAGAGAUGUCCAGGCAAGAUGAGCAGCUUUGCAUCUUCUCCCAUCAUGAAGUGCUCUCUCUAUGGGCCCAGAAACAGCCAAGCAACUGUGGACUGAGACCUUUGAAACUAUGAUCCAAGAUAAAACUUUAGGUUGAUUUUUCUCAGGCAUUUUGUCAGAGUAUCAGAAAAAAAAGCCAUCAAGGUUGAUCAAAGGAUACCAGUCUAAAUUCUGCUCUGAUUUCGUCAUGAUUUUGUCAUCGUAUGAAGCCUAGGGGAAGUCUCUGCUCUUUCUGUCUCUGUUGAUGCAAGUAAAUACUGAUCUAGAGGGUCCUGGUUGAGUGACAAGCCUCUAGGUCUAAACCAGCUUCUAUCUACCCCUCGUCUAGUCUGCUAAUCACCAUGAGAAAUAGCCCAAGAUGGAUGGGUUCAGAUGAUCUUACAUGUAGAACAUCUGAGCCAUGACCCUUUGGUAUUUGUAAGUCUGUAACACAUUCUCAGUUUGGGGGAUGGAACCCAGGGUUUCCCAUGUGCUAGGCCAAGUAAUGCAUUACUAAGACUCAUCACUAGUUAUCCCUGACAGUUUUGAACAUAUUUUGAUAAUUCACCACGUUUUAGGUACCUGUUUCUGGAGGGACCCAGAAAAUUCGCUUUUCCAGCCUUCCUUGAAUCUAGGUGCAGGGCUGGGCACUUCAAGAGUGUGCACAUGCUUGGCUCUGGGCUAAUCUCUUGAAACUCAGUAAAGAAUCUACUCUGAAGAGCCACCCCAUCUACAGCAAAGACUUUGAUGAUAAGAAACAACAGCUAGAGAAAUGUAAUUUCCAAUUCAUAUCCUCUAAUGGGUCUUCUCUCACUUAAUAAAAUUGUUCACUGCA